GCAUCGCCGGGCGAAGCCUGACCGCAAUGCCGCGUGCAGGAAGAAGGCCUUCGGGUUGUAAACUGCUUUUGUACGGAACGAAACGGCCUUUUCUAACAAAGAGGGCUAAUGACGGUACCGUAAGAAUAAGCACCGGCUAACUACGUGCCAGCAGCCGCGGUAAUACGUAGGGUGCGAGCGUUAAUCGGAAUUACUGGGCGUAAAGCGUGCGCAGGCGGCUCUAUAAGACAGAUGUGAAAUCCCCGGGCUCAACCUGGGAAUGGCAUUUGUGACUGUAGAGCUAGAGUACGGUAGAGGGGGAUGGAAUUCCGCGUGUAGCAGUGAAAGGCGUAGAUAUGCGGAGGAACACCGAUGGCGAAGGCAAUCCCCUGGACCUGUACUGACGCUCAUGCACGAAAG
rnacentral:rRNA from 1 species